GAUGAACGCUGGCGGCGUGCCUAAUACAUGCCAGUCGAGCGAACAGACGAGGAGCUUGCUCCUCUGACGUUAGCGGCGGACGGGUGAGUAACACGUGGAUAACCUACCUAUAAGACUGGGAUAACUUCGGGAAACCGGAGCUAAUACCGGAUAAUAUAUUGAACCGCAUGGUUCAAUAGUGAAAGACGGUUUUGCUGUCACUUAUAGAUGGAUCCGCGCCGCAUUAGCUAGUUGGUAAGGUAACGGCUUACCAAGGCAACGAUGCGUAGCCGACCUGAGAGGGUGAUCGGCCACACUGGAACUGAGACACGGUCCAGACUCCUACGGGAGGCAGCAGUAGGGAAUAUUCCGCAAUGGGCGAAAGCCUGAGCGAGCAACGCCGCGUGAGUGAUGAAGGUCUUCGGAUCGUAAAACUCUGUUAUUAGGGAAGAACAAAUGUGUAAGUAACUAUGCACGUCUUGACGGUACCUAAUCAGAAAGCCACGGCUAACUACGUG
rnacentral:rRNA from 1 species